ACAGAGGGGGCGAGCGUUGUUCGGAAUUACUGGGCGUAAAGGGCGCGUAGGCGGCCUUCUAAGUCGAACGUGAAAUCCCCGGGCUCAACCCGGGAACUGCGUCCGAUACUGGGAGGCUUGAAUCCGGGAGAGGGAUGUGGAAUUCCCGGUGUAGCAGUGAAAUGCGUAGAGAUCGGGAGGAACAUCUGUGGCGAAGGCGACUGCCUGGACCAGCACUGACACUGAGGCACGAAAGCGUGGGGAGCAAACAGGA
rnacentral:rRNA from 1 species